rnacentral:rRNA from 1 species
ACGGCUCAGUAACACGUGGAUAACCUGCCCUUAGGUUCGGCAUAACUCCGGGAAACUGGAGAUAAUUCCGAAUAGGUCAAAUAUGCUGGAAUGCUUUUUGGCCAAAAGACUUCGGUUGCCUAAGGAUGGAUCUGCGGUCUAUCAGGUUGUAGUGGGUGUAACGUACCUACUAGCCUACGACGGAUAUGGGUUGUGAGAGCAAGAGCCCAGAGAUGGAUUCUGAGACAUGAAUCCAGGCCCUACGGAGCGCAGCAGGCGCGAAAACUUUACAAUGCGGGAAACCGCGAUAAGGGGACACCGAGUGCCAGCAUUUAUGUUGGCUGUCCACAUGUGUAAACGGCAUGUGUUAGCAAGGGCCGGGCAAGACCGGUGCCAGCCGCCGCGGUAACACCGGCGGCCCGAGUGGUAAUCACUUUUAUUGGGUCUAAAGGGUCCGUAGCCGGUUUGAUCAGUUCUUCGGGAAAUCUGACAGCUCAACUGUUAGGCUUCCGGGGAAUACUGUCAGACUUGGGACUGGGAGAGGUAAGAGGUACUACAGGGGUAGGAGUGAAAUCUUGUAAUCCCUGUGGGACCACCAGUGGCGAAGGCGUCUUACCAGAACAGGUCCGACGGUGAGGGACGAAAGCUGGGGGCACGAACCGGAUUAGAUACCCGGGUAGUCCCAGCCGUAAACGAUGUUCGCUAAGUGUCAGGGGCGGUGCGACCGCUUCUGGUGCCGUAGGGAAGCCGUGAAGCGAACCACCUGGGAAGUACGGCCGCAAGGCUGAAACUUAAAGGAAUUGGCGGGAAAGCAC